AAAUAAGAAGUAAAAAAUUUACAUUUAGUUUCGACCUAAAAUUCUGAUUAAUAAUUAAUCCUUAUUUU
rnacentral:tRNA from 1 species